GUCAAAGGGAGGUAGGCAAGACCUGAGGGAUGUGAUCCAGACAAGGCGUCAGCGCUUUCGUCCGGAUCAGAGUCAUCAGUGAAGGG